GAUGAACGCUGGCGGCGUGCCUAAUACAUGCAAGUCGAGCGAACGGACGAGAAGCUUGCUUCUCUGAUGUUAGCGGCGGACGGGUGAGUAACACGUGGAUAACCUACCUAUAAGACUGGGAUAACUUCGGGAAACCGUAGCUAAUACCGGAUAAUAUUUUGAACCGCAUGGUUCAAAAGUGAAAGACGGUCUUGCUGUCACUUAUAGAUGGAUCCGCGCUGCAUUAGCUAGUUGGUAAGGUAACGGCUUACCAAGGCAACGAUGCAUAGCCGACCUGAGAGGGUGUUCGGCCACACUGGAACGGAGACACGGUCCAGGCUCCUACGGGAGGCAGCAGUAGGGAAUCUUCCGCAAUGGGCGAAAGCCUGACGGAGCAACGCCGCGUGAGUGAUGAAGGUCUUCGGAUCGUAAAACUCUGUUAUUAGGGAAGAACAUAUGUGUAAGUAACUGUGCACAUCUUGAUGGUACCUAAUCAGAAAGCCACGGCUAACUACGUG
rnacentral:rRNA from 1 species